rnacentral:rRNA from 1 species
AUUGAACGCUGGCGGCGGGCCUAACACAUGCAAGUCGAGCGGAUGAGGGGAGCUUGCUCCUGGAUUCAGCGGCGGACGGGUGAGUAAUGCCUAGGAAUCUGCCUGGUAGUGGGGGAUAACGUCCGGAAACGGGCGCUAAUACCGCAUACGUCCUGAGGGAGAAAGUGGGGGAUCUUCGGACCUCACGCUAUCAGAUGAGCCUAGGUCGGAUUAGCUAGUUGGUGGGGUAAAGGCCUACCAAGGCGACGAUCCGUAACUGGUCUGAGAGGAUGAUCAGUCACACUGGAACUGAGACACGGUCCAGACUCCUACGGGAGGCAGCAGUGGGGAAUAUUGGACAAUGGGCGAAAGCCUGAUCCAGUCAUGCCGCGUGUGUGAAGAAGGUCUUCGGAUUGUAAAGCACUUUAAGUUGGGAGGAAGGGCAGUAAGUUAAUACCUUGCUGUUUUGACGUUACCAACAGAAUAAGCACCGGCUAACUUCGUG